rnacentral:rRNA from 1 species
AUACGUAGGGUGCGAGCGUUGUCCGGAAUUACUGGGCGUAAAGAGCUCGUAGGUGGUUUGUCGCGUCGUCUGUGAAAUUCCGGGGCUUAACUCCGGGCGUGCAGGCGAUACGGGCAUAACUUGAGUACUGUAGGGGAGACUGGAAUUCCUGGUGUAGCGGUGAAAUGCGCAGAUAUCAGGAGGAACACCGGUGACGAAGGCGGGUCUCUGGGCAGUAACUGACGCUGAGGAGCGAAAGCGUGGGUAGCGAACAGGAUUAGAUACCCUGGUAGUCCAUGCCGUAAACGGUGGGCGCUAGGUGUAGGGGUCUUCCACGACUUCUGUGCCGUAGCUAACGCAUUAAGCGCCCCGCCUGGGGAGUACGGCCGCAAGGCUAAAACUCAAAUGAAUUGGCGGGG